AAUGAGGAUUUAAAUGGCCGCAGUAUUUUGACUGUGCAAAGGUAGCAUAAUUAUUAGUUUUUUAAUUGAAAGCUUGUAUGAAGGGUUGGACGAGGUAAAGUCUGUCUUUAUUUAAAUUAUAAUAGAAUUUAACUUUUACGUCAAAAGGCUUAAAUGCUUAUAAAAGACGAGAAGACCCUAUAGAUCUUUAUUUAAUAAGAGUUUUAAUAAUUUAGGAUUAUUUUAGUUUAAAAUUUAAAUUAAAUUUUAUUGGGGUAAUAUAAAGAUUAAAUAAAUUCUUUUUAUUUAUGACAUUGAUUUAUGAAUUAAUGAUCCAAUACUAUUGAUUAUAAGAUUAAGUUACCUUAGGGAUAACAGCGUAAUUUUUUUGGAGAGCUCUUAUCGAUAAAAAAGUUUGCGACCUCGAUGUUG
rnacentral:rRNA from 1 species